rnacentral:rRNA from 1 species
AUACGUAGGUGGCAAGCGUUGUCCGGAAUUACUGGGCGUAAAGGGUGCGUAGGCGGAUAUUUAAGUGGGAUGUGAAAUACCUGAGCUCAACUUGGGAGCUGCAUUCCAAACUGGAUAUCUAGAGUGCAGGAGAGGAGAAUGGAAUUCCUAGUGUAGCGGUGAAAUGCGUAGAGAUUAGGAAGAACACCAGUGGCGAAGGCGAUUCUCUGGACUGUAACUGACGCUGAGGCUCGAAAGCGUGGGGAGC